CUUCUAGCUCAAGGUGUUUCUUGACGCUGCAGACAAGAUGUCAGCUGGGCCCAUGGUCAUCUGGAGGCUACAGCUGCCCUCCCACGGUUCACUUGCAUGGCUGGCAAG